UGCAAAUAGCGCCUCUCCCAUCACAGGAAGAACUCUGCUGUGCUCUCCCAGGGCAUUGAUGCGUAACUGAACCCUGGACGGGCCAAUCAAGACUCACAAGGA
rnacentral:lncRNA from 1 species